UUGUCAACAGAUCGCGCCGGUGCCCGAGAGGGCUUAAUUCGGGAACACGGUGAGGAGCGGCCUUGGCUGAUCCGAAUCCGAGGCUGUCCCUGCAACUGUAAGCGGCGAGCGCGAUGCACAUCGCUUCCACCUUCGGGCGGAAGCAGCCACUGGGCCUUACGCUUGUCCAAGCGCGGCCUGGGAAGGCCGUGCAUCAAGCUAUGACCCGCGAGCCAGGAGACCUGCCGGCGUUUGGUCGCUCUUG
rnacentral:ncRNA from 17 species